rnacentral:lncRNA from 1 species
CAAAGAGUCAUACAUUUCUCAAGCUAUUUUCAGCUCCUCUGCACCUACUCACUUGCAAUACUUGUCAUAACAGGAAGUCCGUUUUAUAUACUGUAAUCCCCAAACACGUUGUGCCUGCACGUGGGGAGCGUGAGGGGGCUGAGGGGGGAGUGAGGAAGCCAAGCCCCCCAGAAGGCCACCUGGCUGAGCACUGAACCCAUCCCAAUCUGGGCAUCCCUCCUCCCAGGCCCAGGUGUCAGAAACCAGGGUCCACAUCCAGACAUUGUUUUCCUUCCUCAUGCAGUUGGUGGUUCCUUUUUUUUUUUUAAAUAAAGCAUUUGAGUAGGCGGCAAAGCCAGUCAGAACUGUUUAUUUAUAGCUGUGGAUUUUCAAUGCUGUAUAAAUUAGAAAUCAUUGCUGAAUGAGGCCCGCGCCCACUCACACACGCAGGGCCGCUAUCUGUGAGUCCUUUUACACAGUUUGACUGUACACAGUCUAAAAUGGGAGAAAAUGACAUGCUCUGAGUCAAAUGACGGAGUCACAGCUAAACUGCAAAGCAGAAAACCAGCAAUUAUUUUUCCUCAGCACAAUAUGGGGAGGACGACAGGUGCAAUUAUCCAAUAUUAUUUAACAGCACCGGUUUGUGGUAUAGGGAGAAAAUAAAGGUUUCUGUGUCUUGGAGAGGAGAAAAAGAGAAAGAACCUGCCUCCCACCUCCUGUUUCUGUGGAUUAAGCUGUGUUAUGUAAAUUGAAACUGGCCAGGAUUCCAAAAAGGGAAGGGAGAACCACCUGGCUCCCUCGCUCUUCCUCCCUGGAAGCUGGCAACCUGCGUCAUCAGGGACUUCUGAGAAAAGGGCCCUCGCCUUGGGACCUUGAACAUCCUCCUCUGAGGCAGCGGCUUCAGAUUGCCGGUGUCUUCCUCUGCUAGGCUCUUCCUGCCAUCGUGACCUGUUAGCGCCCUCACAUAUCGCCAAAGGAGGAGGAGGAGGCCAAGAGACCUGCCAGCAGCCAAUUCAGUGCUAGUCCUGAUCCUGCUUAGCAAUGUGGAUUUCUGUGUAAACCUCAAAACAAAGGAAAGAAAAGGCCAGUUGUAGAACGUCCUUCUAACUCACAGAUGAACUUCUCUUGGGCUCCUCUGGGAGCCGUCUUAGACCCUGGACAUGUAAUACGGGGAUUACUUGCAUGACUGUAUUAACAAUGAUAAAGGGAAACUUUCCUGUGCAUUCUAGUGAGUUCAACCAAAAUGCCACAUGCACAUUAAUCUUGGUUCUGUGGUUGCUUAUCAGGGAAGAGAAUGAAAUUACAACUCUGAGAGAGUCUCCAAGAAUAAGAGCCAGCAAAGCUCCAAGCGAUUUGGGCAUGAGUGUGUUUAUGUGUGUUCCAAGGGAUCAUGCUUGUGUUCCUGAGGUCACAGAGAAGCCAGCCUUUUUCCCUGAUUGGUGGGUGGAGGUGCCCAGGGCAGACAGCUCUUUGAUUUGACUAAUCGCCUCACUACCUCUCACCUUGCCCCCUCCUACCCUCAACACUUGUCAGUUCGCUUCAUCAUUCACGCAGUCACCCUUAAAAGACCCUCCAAGUGCCAGUGGCCUUGGCUCCUCACACAGAAUAUCAUCAGACUAAGCUGUUUACCCAGUAUCUAAAUAUCCCAAUUAGCAUUUAGCUUAAAACUUUACCAUUACCGGGCCAGCCCCGUGGCCAAGUGGUUGGGUUCGCGCUCUGCUUCAGCACCCAGGGGUUUCACCAAUUUGAGUCCUGGGCGCGGACACGGCGCCGCUCAUCAGGCCAUGCUGGGGCAGCAUCCCACAUGCCACAAUUGGAAGGACCCACAACUAAAAUAUACAACUAUGUACCAGAGGGCUUUGGGGAGAAAAAGGAAAAAUAAAAAUCUUAAAAAAAAAACAACUUUACCAUUACUGAAUUUAACUAUAUUUAUAAUAUAAAGUCAUUUAUAGUUGCAACAACAUAUAAGUAGUAUAGCUAUUGUUACCUUUCUUGGUUUCCUAGAGCUACCAUAACAAAGGACACAAAUUAGACGUCUUAAAAACCGCAGAAGUUUCUCCUCUCACAGUGCUGGAGGCUAGCAGUCUGCAAUCAAGGUGUCAGCAGCACCAUGCUCUCUCCGAAGGUACUAGGGAAAAAUCCUUCAUUCGGAUGGCUCCUCAUGAUCCUUGGCUCAUGGCAGGAUCACUCCAAUCUCUGCUUCCAUCCUCAUAUGGCAUUCUACUGCAUGUCUCUCUUACCUUAGAGGGAAUCUGGAAUCUGUGUCCACGUUUUUCGCUCAUUUCUCUUGGUUUUAGGGCCCACCCUAAGUCCAGGAUGAUUUCAUUUCAAAAUCCUUAAUCCCUUCUGCAAAGACCCUAUUUCCAAAUAAGGUCACAUUCUGAGGUUCCAGGUGGAUAUUAGUAUUGGAGAGAUGCUAUUCAACCCAGCACAUCAUCCCUAUUUUACAAAUGAGGGGACUGAGCGUCAAAGAUCAUUGUAUAUCAAAUUUUAGCUUUUAAUUCUUCUCACUUGUCUGUCUUAAUUCAAGCAGUCACCAAUAAAAAUUUGUACCAUCUAUUGAGCGCCUGCUAUGGAAUGGCUGUUUGCUAUUCAUUAUCUCUAGUCCUCCCCAUAGCUCUAAAAAGGAAACAUUACUAUCCCAAUGCUAAGGAUAAAGAAACUGAGGCUCAAGACAUCAAAAUGGCCAACAGACACAUGAAAAGGUGCUCAACAUCACUAAUCAUCAUGGAAAUCAAAAUCAAAAUCACAGUGGAUAUCACCUCACAUUUGUUAGAAUGGCUAUUAUCGAGAAGACGAGACAUAACAAAUUUUGAUGAAUCUGUGGACAUGGGCACACUUCUACGUUGUUGGUAGGACUAAAUUGGUCUAAACGCUAUAGAAAACAAUUUGAAGCUUCCUCAAAAAAUUAAAAUAGAUUUACCAUAUGAUCCAGCAAUUCCAGGUCUGGGUAUAUACCCAAAGGAAAUGAAAAUAGAAUUUUGACAAGAUAUGUGCACUCCGUGUUUGUUACAGCAUUAUUCACAACAGCCAGGAUAUGGAAAUGACACAAAUGCCCAUCAAUGGAUGAAUGGAUAAAAAAAGAUGUGGUACUUAUACACAAUGGAAUAUUACUCAGUCACAAGAAAGGAGAAUAGCCUCCCAUUUGCAACAACAUGGAUGGGCCUUGAGCAAAUUAUACUAAGUGAGAUUAGUCAGAUGGAGAAAGACAAGUGCCGUAUGACAUCACAUAUGUGGAAUCUAAAAAAGUUAAACUUGUGAAAAACAGAGAGUAAAAUGAUGGUUACUAGGAGGAUUAGGGGUGUGAUAAGAAUGAUGAUGUUUAAGGGUGGUAAACAACCCAUAGAGAUCUAAUGCAUGGUAUAAUGAAUAUAACAAUAAUAUUGUACUAUAAUUAUGUCAUGUGAUAAAUAUUGCUGCAUUGGCAAUUAUAUCACAACGUAUAAAUAUAUCAAAGCAACAUGCUGUACACCUUAAACUUACACAAUGUUAGGUGUCAAAUUUAUUGAAUAAAAAAAAAGAAACUGA